UUUUAAGUACGUUUAUUAAAUGCGCUCGUCUAAGAAAUAUAUUUAAGAUUAUUCUUGUAUAUAUAUUUAUAUAAUAAUAAUUCUAGAAUCAAAAAUUACAACCUCAAAUUAAAAAUUAUAGUAGCAUAAUAAUUUGUUAACUAAUUAUUAAAGUGUUCCACAGAAAUUUUUUUAAAUUAAAACAAUUAAA
rnacentral:ncRNA from 1 species